rnacentral:rRNA from 1 species
CUUGAAUCCGAAGCUGCUGAUACCAAGCUCCCAGGAAAAGCCUCUAAGCUUCAGUUGCAUGGGACCGUACCGUAAUCGGACACACGUGGGCAGGAUGAAAAUUCUAAGGCGCUUGAGAGAACUCAGGAGAAGGAACUCGGCAAAUUGACACCGUAACUUCGGAAGAAGGUGUGCCCUGGUAGGUUGUAGCCGUACAGGCGAAGGCCGAAGGGGUUGCAAAAAAUCGGUGGCUGCGACUGUUUAAUAAAAACACAGCACUCUGCAAACACGAUGAGUGGACGUAUAGGGUGUGACGCCUGCCCGGUGCCGGAAGGUUAAAUGAUGGGGUGCAAGCUCUUGAUUGAAGCCCCGGUAAACGGCGGCCGUAACGAUAACGGUCCUAAGGUAGCGAAAUUCCUUGUCGGGUAAGUUCCGACCUGCACGAAUGGCGUAACGAUGGCCACACUGUCUCCUCCUGAGACUCAGCGAAGUUGAAAUGUUUGUGAUGAUGCAAUCUACCCGCGGCUAGACGGAAAGACCCCGUGCACCUUUACUGUAGCUUUGCAUUGGACUGUGAUGGGAUCUGUGUAGGAUAGGUGGGAGGCUUUGAAGUGGGGGCGCUAGCCCUCAUGGAGCCGACGUUGAAAUACCACCCUGAUGUCAUUGCGGUUCUAACCUUGGCCCCUUAGCGGGGUUGGGGACAGUGCAUGGUAGGCAGUUUGACUGGGGCGGUCUCCUCCCAAAGAGUAACGGAGGAGCUCGAAGGUACGCUAGGUACGGUCGGACAUCGUGCUGAUAGUGCAAUGGCACAAGCGUGCUUGACUGCGAGACUGACAAGUCGAGCAGGUGCGAAAGCAGGACAUAGUGAUCCGGUGGUUCUGAAUGGAAGGGCCAUCGCUCAACGGAUAAAAGGUACGCCGGGGAUAACAGGCUGAUUCCUCCCAAGAGUUCAUAUCGACGGGGGAGUUCGGCACCUCGAUGUCGGCUCAUCACAUCCUGGGGCUGUAGCCGGUCCCAAGGGUAUGGCUGUUCGCCAUUUAAAGUGGUACGUGAGCUGGGUUUAAAACGUCGUGAGACAGUUUGGUCCCUAUCUGCCGUGGGCGUUGGACGUUUGAGGAGGGCUGCUCCUAGUACGAGAGGACCGGAGUGGACGCACCUCUGGUGUACCGGUUAUCACGCCAGUGGUAUUGCCGGGUAGCUAAGUGCGGAAGAGAUAAGCGCUGAAAGCAUCUAAGCGCGAAACUUGCCUCGAGAUGAGACGUCCCGUGAUGUAAGUCACCUAAAGGGUCGCGGUAGACCACCGCGUUGAUAGGUCGAGUGUGGAAGCGCAGUAAUGCGUUAAGCUAACCGAUACUAAUUGCCCGUGCGGCUUGAUCCU